AUGAACCAUCUUCUCUUCGCCCACGAUAGCCUACUAUUUUUCAAAGCUAGUGAGGCAAGUGCUACACGUGUGGAAGAGCUUUUAAGGACAUAUUGCGAUGCAUCUGGACAGAGGAUCAAUGUGGACAAAUCAUCUAUCUACUUUAGCAAAGGUGUUCCUGAAGCUACUCGUGACUCUAUCAAGAAUAUCCUUGCUGUCCAUAAUGAAUCAUUGUCAGAAAAAUACUUGGGCUUGCCGAUGGAUGUGGGUAGGGCGAAAGAAGGGUCGUUUAAAUACCUCAAGGAUAGAAUCUGGAACAAGGUC
rnacentral:rRNA from 1 species